UACGAAGGGGGCUAGCGUUGCUCGGAAUCACUGGGCGUAAAGCGCACGUAGGCGGAUUGUUAAGUCAGGGGUGAAAUCCUGGAGCUCAACUCCAGAACUGCCUUUGAUACUGGCGAUCUUGAGUCCGGGAGAGGUGAGUGGAACUGCGAGUGUAGAGGUGAAAUUCGUAGAUAUUCGCAAGAACACCAGUGGCGAAGGCGGCUCACUGGCCCGGUACUGACGCUGAGGCGCGAAAGCGUGGGUAGCAAACGGG
rnacentral:rRNA from 1 species